rnacentral:rRNA from 1 species
GGUGAACGCUGGCGGCGUGCUUAACACAUGCAAGUCGAACGAUCGUCUUCGGACUGUCGUGGCACACGUGUGAGUAACGCGUAACUGACCUGCCCCCAAGUUCCUAAUAACCCUCCGAAAGGAGUGCUAAUACGGGAUGUGCUGUCCCCUCCUGUUGGGCCAGUAAAGGCUUGACCGCUUGGGGUUGGGGUUGCGUUCCAUCAGCUAUAUGGUGAGGUAAAGGCCUACCAUGGCAACGACGGAUAACCGGCCUGAGAGGGUGGCUGGUCACAGGGGCAAUGAGACACGGGUUCAACUCCUACGGGAGGCAGCAGUUAGGAAUGUUCCAGAAUGGAUGAAAGUCUGAGCGAGAGACGCCGCCUGCGGUAUGACGGUUGUCGGAUCGUCCAUAUCUGAAUCAGGGACGAUAGCCGCGGAAGAGGGAUGAAGGUACGUGAGUAAGAGCACCGGCUAACUCCGUG